AUACGGAGGGUGCAAGCGUUACUCGGAAUCACUGGGCGUAAAGCGCGCGCAGGCGGCUAUUUAAGUUGGAUGUGAAAGCCUAUGGCUCAACCAUAGAACUGCAUCCAAAACUAUUUAGCUAGAGUGUGGGAGAGGAAGAUGGAAUUAGUUGUGUAGGGGUAAAAUCCGUAGAGAUAACUAGGAAUACCAAAAGCGAAGGCAAUCUUCUGGAACACUACUGACGCUGAGGCGCGAAAGCGUGGGGAGCAAACAGGAGUAGAUACCCUUGUAGUCC
rnacentral:rRNA from 1 species